UAGUGUGCUUUGUGAGUAAGACUGAAAAU
rnacentral:piRNA from 1 species